rnacentral:rRNA from 1 species
UACGUAGGGGGCAAGCGUUGGUCCGGAAUCAUUGGGCGUAAAGAGCGCGUAGGCGGUCCGAUAAGUCCGCUCUGAAAGUCCGGGGCUCAACCCUGGAAUGCCGGUGGAUACUGUCGGGCUAGAGUUCGGAAGAGGCAAGUGGAAUUCCUGGUGUAGCGGUGGAAUGCGCAGAUAUCAGGAGGAACACCUAUAGCGAAGGCAGCUUGCUGGGACGACACUGACGCUAAGGCGCGAAAGCGUGGGGAGCGAACAGG